UAGGGAAUAUUGGUCAAUGGACGGAAGUCUGAACCAGCCAUUCCGCGUGCAGGAAGAAGGUCCUAUGGACUGUAAACUGCUUUUAGCAGAGAAGAAACGCCUUCAUUUAUGAGGGUCUGACGGUAUCUGCGGAAUAAGCACCGGCUAACUCCGUGCCAGCAGCCGCGGUAAUACGGGGGGUGCAAGCGUUAUCCGGAAUCACUGGGUUUAAAGGGUGCGUAGGCGGGACAUUAAGUCAGUGGUGAAAGUCUGUUGCUUAACGAUAGAAUUGCCGUUGAUACUGAUGUUCUUGAAUUGGGUUGAGGUUAGCGGAAUGUGACAUGUAGCGGUGAAAUGCAUAGAUAUGUCAUGGAACACCAAUUGCGAAGGCAGCUAGCUGGGCCUUGAUUGACGCUGAGGCACGAAAGCGUGGGGAGCAAACAGG
rnacentral:rRNA from 1 species